rnacentral:snRNA from 1 species
AUGGAUUUUCUGAGUGAAAAAAAAAAAAAAAAAAAAAAAAAAGAAGGUUAAGGAAAAAGAAAAAAAAACCCUGUUCUUAGUUUAAUAUCUGAUACGUCCCCUAUCUGGGGACCAUAUAUUAAAUGGAUUUUUGGAACAAGGAGAUGGAAGAAGAGCUUGCUCUGUCCACUCCACGCAUCGACCUGGUAUUGCAUUACCUCCAGGACCGGUGCACUUCUC